rnacentral:rRNA from 1 species
UACAAGUGCGUCGAGCGUUAUCCGGAAUCAUUGGGCGUAAAGGGUGCGUAGGCGGCGCGGUAAGUCGGGUGUGAAAUCUUGGAGCUUAACUCCGAAACUGCAUUCGAUACUGCCGUGCUUGAGGACUGGAGAGGAGACUGGAAUUUACGGUGUAGCGGUGAAAUGCGUAGAGAUCGUAAGGAAGACCAGUGGCGAAGGCGGGUCUCUGGACAGUUCCUGACACUGAGGCACGAAGGCCAGGGGAGCAAACGGG